rnacentral:rRNA from 1 species
CACGUAGGGCGCAAGCGUUGUCCGGAAUUAUUGGGCGUAAAGAGCUUGUAGGCGGUUUGUCGCGUCUGCCGUGAAAAUCCGAGGCUCAACCUCGGACUUGCGGUGGGUACGGGCAGACUAGAGUGUGGUAGGGGAGACUGGAAUUCCUGGUGUAGCGGUGAAAUGCGCAGAUAUCAGGAGGAACACCGAUGGCGAAGGCAGGUCUCUGGGCCACUACUGACGCUGAGAAGCGAAAGCGUGGGGAGCGAACAGG